rnacentral:lncRNA from 1 species
GAUACUGAAAUGCAGAAGAAUGAAAAUGGAUCAAAACACGUAUAUUCUUUAUCCAAAACUUUAAGUAAUAACAUAAAUAAAUUAACUACUAUGAAUUCAUUAAACAUGUAUGAAAAUUAUGAUAAAAGAGAAGAUUGUAGUUUUUUUGAUUCUGGUAUUAUACAAGAGGAAUUCACAAAUGUGAAAGACUAUUGCAGCGGUGAAUGUAAUAGUAACCGUUAUAGUAAUGACAUUAAUCACCGAAAGGAAAACUACAAUAACGAUUUUACAUCCGAUAAAAAUACUUUUAACGAUAACCGACACAACAUAAACAAUUUAAUAAAAAAAAAAAAAUAUCCAUUCACUCUUUUCGAUAUUAACAAAUAUGAAAAUGUAUAUACUAACAUUAUAAAAGAUUGUAAUGUAUGUAUAUCUACUUGUUUAGUAUGUAUGGAACGAUUAGAUAACAACAUUUAUUUUAUCCUUAGUAGAAAUAAAAAAUGGAGUUAUAUUGAAAAAGAAAAUAAUAAUUAUUAUAAUUAUAUAAACUUAUCUUGUUAUGUUUGUGUAUUAAUAUUUUUUUAUUAUGUUUUGUUAAAAUUUGAAGGUAACUAUCAUACUAUUGAUAGUUUUCUUUUUAAUUUUCAAAAGCAGCUCGGAGAGAAGGAGGAUAAGGAGGACAAGGAGAAAGAGGAGGAGAGAGAGGAGAGAGAGGAGGACAAGGGGGAGGAGAAAGAGAAAGAGGAGGAGAAGGAGAAAGAGGAGGAAAAGGAGGAAAAGGAGGACAAGGGGGAGGAGGAGAAAGAGAAAGAGGAGAAAGAGGAGAAAGAGGAGGAGAGAGAGGAGAGAGAGGAGAGAGAGGAGGACAAGGGGGAGGAGAAAGAGAAAGAGGAGGAGAAGAAGAAGAAGAAGGAAAACGAGAAAGAGAAAGAGAAAGAAAAAAAGAAAGAACAAGAGAAAGAGAAAGAGAAAGAGAACGAACAAGAACAAGAUAUGGAAAACGAUAAAAAACUAAUAUACAAGGAGUUACAAACAUAUUUUUUCAAUCAGUAUAAUGGUGUGAAAAAAGAAAAAAUAGAUAAUUACAUGAACAAUGAAAACAACUGUAACAUGUUAAAUGUUCAUAAAAACUGGGACAAUAUAAACAAAAUGAAUAACAUAAUAUACAUACUGGUCGAAUUAUAUACACUAGUGAAAAAUUUAAAAUGCAAAUGUUGUAACAAUAACGACGAUAUAUGGCUUUGUUUAAUAUGUGGUAACAUAGGAUGUAGUCGGUACCAAAAAAGUCAUGCAAAAAUACAUAGUACCACAUUUAAUCAUAAUUAUUGUAUUAAUUUAAAAACAAAACAAGUAUGGAAUUACUUACAGGAUAAAUUUAUGGAAAAAAAUAUAUAUGACAAUAGUAUAGAGGACAGUGAUUGCCCAAAUCAUUCUCUUUAUUAUUUUGAUGAAAAAAUAUACAAACAAAAUUUGCGCAAUUUUCAUAACAAUAAUAACAGUAGUCAU